rnacentral:rRNA from 1 species
AUUGAACGCUGGCGGCAGGCCUAACACAUGCAAGUCGAACGAGUGGCGGACGGGUGAGUAAUGUCUGGGAAACUGCCCGAUGGAGGGGGAUAACUACUUGAAACGGUAGCUCAUACCGCAUACCAUCGGAUGUGCCCAGAUGGGUUUAUCUAGUAGGUGGGGGAAUGGCUCACCUAGGCGACGAUCCCUAGCUGGUCUGAGAGGAUGCCCAGCCACACUGAAACUGAGAGACGGUACAGACGCCUACGGGAGGCAGCAGUGGGGAAUAUUGCGCAAUGGGCGCAAGCUUGAUGCAGCCAUGCCGCGUGUAUGAAGAAGGCCUUCGGGUUGUAAAGUACUUUCAGCGAGGAGGCGUUACUCGCAGAAGAAGCACCGGCUAACUCCGUGCCAGCAGCCGCGGUAAUUC